CGUGCAGGCGGGUUGGUAAGUCAGAUGUGAAAGCCCUGGGCUUAACCCAGGAAGUGCAUUUGAAACUGCCAUCCUUGAGUAUGGGAGAGGAGAGUGGAAUUCCCAAUGUAGAGGUGAAAUUCGUAGAUAUUGGGAGAACACCCGUGGCGAAGGCGACUCUCUGGACCAAUACUGACGCUGAGACGCGAAAGCGUGGGGAGCAAACA
rnacentral:rRNA from 1 species